AACGUAGGAGGCGAGCGUUAUCCGGAUUUACUGGGCGUAAAGCGCGUGUAGGCGGCACGAUAAGUUGGAUGUGAAAGCUCCCGGCUAAACUGGGAGAGGACGUUCAAUACUGUCGAGCUUGAGGAUGGGAGAGGGAGGUGGAAUUCCGGGUGUAGUGGUGAAAUGCGUAGAUAUCCGGAGGAACACCAGUGGCGAAGGCGGCCUCCUGGCCCAUUUCUGACGCUCAGACGCGAAAGCUAGGGUAGCAAACGGGAUUAGAGACCCCGGUAGUCCUAGCUGUAAACUAUGUAGACUUGGCGUUGGUGGGGUAAAAUCCAUCAGUGCCGUAGCUAACGCGAUAAGUCUACCGCCUGGGGACUACGGCCGCAAGGCUAAA
rnacentral:rRNA from 1 species